rnacentral:ncRNA from 1 species
ACGUCCUGCUCGUGAUCGUCUUCUCGACCUUCACCGGCAGGCCGCGCAAGGGGGCUUCCGGCCGGGACGACCCGGCCGGAGACCCCU